rnacentral:lncRNA from 1 species
GGCAGUAGAGAUGGAGAGGCCUAGAGAAUUACAGUUGUAUAUUGGCAGCUGAAAACAAGGGCCAAAAAUGGACUGGCUGUGGGGUGAAGCCAUCAGUGUCUACAGCUUCAGCUAUUGCCCGUGUGCAGAUGGUGCUUAAUCUCUCUUGUGCCUUCCAGACCUGCAUUCCAGCCACCUACCAAACCCCUUUCUGUGGAUGCCAAGAAAAGUCUUCAGACCGUGGACAAUGUGCUCUUUGCCCCUAUUAUGGAGAAAGGUGUUCCCUAGCCAGGCAGCCCUUGCCGUAUCCAGCACUCUGGACUCAUGAGCUGUGUGGCAGCCCCAAGACUGUAGACAUGACUCUCACCAGGAGGCAAGUAGGCUGGGGUUGCAGGGUGGAUUUUGGACUGCAAGAAUAAAAGAGUCUGAAAAUGCCUGGUACUUGGAUUUCCAGUGUGGUAGAUUGUUUCCACAAAUGGCUGCAAUAAUCACUGCCACCCUGCAUGUCUCUGGCAAUGUGACUUUGCCAUUCCUUUCAUCAAGAGAAGUGGACUCCUUCUCAAUUGAGCUGACCCUGCGGCUUGCUUUGAUCAACAGAGUGCAUAAGUGACACUGUGUGGCUUGAGACUAUGUUUUAAGAGGUUUUGUAGUUUCCACUUUUAUACUCUUUUGGAAACCAGCUACCAUGUAAACAGUCAGACCAUCCUGAGGCAGCCAUGCUGUGAGGAAGCCCAAGCUAGCUAAACGGAGAGACCACGUGAAGAAAGUUAGAUGCCUGGCCAACCCCCAGGACAUCCUGGAUGUUGUAGCUCCAGCAGAUGCCAUGUGAAGCAGAAAUACCACAUUGCUGAGCCCAGCCCAGACUGAAGAAUCAUGAGAGGUAAAAAAUAGUUGUUUAAAGCCA